rnacentral:tRNA from 1 species
UGCGGGUGUAGCUCAGUUGGUUAGAGUGCCGGCCUGUCACGCCGGAGGUCGCGGGUUCGAGCCCCGUCACUCGCGCCAC